rnacentral:rRNA from 1 species
UACGGGGGGGGGCAAGCGUUGUUCGGAAUUACUGGGCGUAAAGGGCUCGUAGGCGGCCAACUAAGUCAUACGUGAAAUCCCUCGGCUUAACCGGGGAACUGCGUCUGAUACUGGAUGGCUUGAGUUCGGGAGAGGGAUGCGGAAUUCCAGGUGUAGCGGUGAAAUGCGUAGAUAUCUGGAGGAACACCGGGUGGCGAAAGCGGCAUCCUGGACCGACAUUGACGCUGAGGAGCGAAAGCUAGGGGAGCAAACGGG